GCUGAGAUAGCUUGGUUGGGAGGGCAUUAGACUGAAGAUCUAAAGGAGACUGGUUCAAUUCAGGGUUUUGGCA
rfam:Chlorocebus sabaeus isolate 1994-021 chromosome 17, whole genome shotgun sequence.